rnacentral:lncRNA from 1 species
GCCAAAAUGUUUUAUUUGGGCAAUACAAAUACAAUCAAAUCAAAAAUAUCACAGAUUUUCAUACAUUAGUAAGAAGUUACUGUACACUUGAACAGUUGCCAUUUUUUACAGCUAAACAAAAGCUUUACCUUUAUUAAAAUGUAUUUUCCUCUCACAUAAAAUAUACACUUUGCACUGACGUAUUUUACAUGGGACACCUCUCUGGGGAAGAACAGCUCACGAACAACACGACAGGGCCACCUUCUCUACCCCACACAAGAGCACAUCGAAGCGAGACACACGGCUGCUCCCAGGGCCGGCAGGGCCCUCCGAACGACUGCUGGGCUCGGGCAGUUUGGGGUUGGUUGAGUUUUGGGGUCACUGGAUUUCAGCGUUGGUGGAUUUUUAGGCCUGGCGGAUUUUAGGGUUGUUGCAUUUUUGGGGUUGGUGGAUUUUUGGAGUCGAUGGAUUUUAGGGUUGGUUGAUUUUUGGGGUUGGUUGAUUUUUGGGGUUGGUGGAUUUUUUGAGUUGGUGGAUUUCAGGGUUGGUUGAUUUUUGGGGUCAGCAUGUUUUUGGGGUCGGUGGAUUUCAGGCUUGGUGGAUUUUUGGGGUUGGUGGAUUUUGGGGCUGGUGGAUUUUUGAGCCUGGCAGAUUUUAGGGUUGGUGCAUUUUGGGGGCUGGAUUUUUGGGGUCAGUGGAUUUUUGAGGCUGGUCAAUUUUUGGGGUCAGCACGUUUUUGGGGUCAGCACGUUUUUGGGGUCAGUGGAUUUCAGGCUUGGUGGAUUGUUUGAGUUGGUGGAUUUUAAGGGUUAGUGCAUUUUGGGGUCGGUGGAUUUUUGGGGUUGGUGCAUUUUUGGGGCUGGUGGAUUUUUAGGUCAGAAGAAGGGACUUUGGGCAGGGUUGAGCCUGGCUCUGGUGGCUCUUCCUGGGGUUCAGCUGCCAGGAACGCCCUCCCAGGAUGUUCCUUGUCACCCUCUUCUUUUAAAAGUUUUAAAGUUCUUUUAAAAGUUUUAAAGUUCUUUUAAAAGUUUUAAAGUUCUUUUGAAAGUUUUCAUGCCUUCUGAUAAUGUUUAUAUAUCUCUGCUGGAGUUCUCAGGCACUGUUGAUGUAAAUAAUGAUUGUUUUGCAUUCUUCUCUGUGGGAGGAGAGAAUUGGUGGGCUGUUGGUUUGACCAGUGUGGUUGGAGAGGUGGCAAUCCCAUCCCCCAGUCCACUGCCACUUUUGGAACUCUGCAUAUUGCGAGGUCAGAAAUAAAAGUUACUUCCUUUUGCUCUUUUAAGCUUAGAGUGAGUGUGUGAGUUAUUUUGUGCAGCAGUGCAGCAGUUCCUGGUGCCAGGGCAGGGGUUUGGGGGUCCCUCCAGUGGGAUUCUGCACCCACAGAACCAGGGGAGCUCCCGGCAGCAGAGCAGGUGGAGCCCAGGACAAAGCCCAGGAGGGGUGAAAGGCUGUGGGAACAACUCUGGGUGAGCAGGAGGCUCCGUGGGAGCCCCACAGGAACCGCUGGAUGGUUUUGGGACUGGAUUUGGAGAAGAGAUGCAGCAAGAAAUGCACUCAUCCCUACGGGCUGGAGUGAAACCUGGGUGAACUCGGGGCUCUGCCAGACUCAGGUGAAACGGAUUAAAGAAAGGGGGAAAAGGAAAUGUCACCGUGGUUUAAUCCUGGAGAGGAGAAGUUCUGCUCUUAGCCAAAGGAAAAACUUCUGGGAAAGGAUUUUCCUCCCUGCCCCUUGUACAGCAGUGAGGGGAGGGGAAGUCAGCGAGUGGCUUUGGAAAAAUCUCCGUGUAUUUUAAAGAGGAUUUUGAUGGAAUUGCAGGGAGGGAGAUCUGUGGGACAUGGACACAGAUGGUCUGUGUGCAGCCUGCAGUGAUCUGCCUUGGCUUCAGACCCCCAAAAGGCACCAGCCACUUCUGAGGGCUUGGAGGGCUCAGGCAGCGCCUGGAUCUGGGAGUGGCAGCCCCAGCCUGGGGUCUCCAGGCUCCUCUCACACCCAGCUCCUCCUUCUGCUCCCAUCCUUUCCACAGAAACCCCCUGGCUGCCCCAGGCAUCCCUGCCUGCCAGGACCUGGGAACAGGGGCUUGCUCCUCUUCCAAAAACUCCUGCCAUCCUCAGGAAUAAGGCAUCUGUUGAGUUUAGUUACUGUAAACCACUUGUGAAAAACCAAAAUCCGCACCGUGUCCUGGCACCCCCAGGGGAUUUACUUAGACAUGAAUAAAAAAGAGUAAAAUAUAUAUUUAUAUAUAUAUAUAAUUAUCCUUUGCUAAUUGUAGCACAAUGUACAAUCUGAACCUGAUUUGGGAAUAAA